UACGGGGGGGGCAAGCGUUGUUCGGAAUUACUGGGCGUAAAGGGCUCGUAGGCGGCCAACUAAGUCGGCCGUGAAAUCCCUCGGCUCAACCGGGGAACUGCGUCCGAUACUGGAUGGCUCGAGUCCGGGAGAGGGAUGCGGAAUUCCAGGUGUAGCGGUGAAAUGCGUAGAUAUCUGGAGGAACACCGGUGGCGAAGGCGGCAUCCUGUACCGGCACUGACGCUGAGGAGCGAAAGCGAGGGGAGCAAACGGG
rnacentral:rRNA from 1 species